rnacentral:rRNA from 1 species
GACGAACGCUGGCGGCGUGCUUAACACAUGCAAGUCGAACGGAAAGGCCCUGCUUUUGUGGGGUGCUCGAGUGGCGAACGGGUGAGUAACACGUGAGUAACCUGCCCUUGACUUGGGGAUAACUUCAGGAAACUGGGGCUAAUACCGGAUAGGAGCUCCUGCUGCAUGGUGGGGGUUGGAAAGUUUCGGCGGGUGGGGAUGGACUCGCGGCUUAUCAGCUUGUUGGUGGGGUAGUGGCUUACCAAGGCUUUGACGGGUAGCCGGCCUGAGAGGGUGACCGGCACCAUUGGGACUGGGAUACGGCCCAGACUCCUACGGGAGGCAGCAGUGGGGAAUAUUGCACAAUGGGCGGAAGCCUGAUGCAGCAACGCCGCGUGCGGGAUGACGGCCUUCGGGUUGUAAACCGCUUUCGCCUGUGACGAAGCGUGAGUGACGGUAAUGGGUAAAGAAGCACCGGCUAACUACGUG